rnacentral:rRNA from 1 species
AGAACGAACGCUGGCGGCAGGCCUAAAACAUGCAAGUCGAGCGGGCAUAGCAAUAUGUCAGCGGCGGACGGGUGAAUAACACGUGGGAACAUGCCCUUUGGUACGGAACAACUCAGGGAAACUUGAGCUAAUACCGUAUGUGCCGGUAACGGGAAAGAUUUAUCGCCAAAGGAUUGGCCCGCGUCCGAUUAGCUAGUUGGUGAGGUAAUGGCUCACCAAGGCUCCGAUCGGUAGCUGGUUUGAGAGAACGAUCAGCCACACUGGGACUGAGACACGGCCCAGACUCCUACGGGAGGCAGCAGUUGGGAAUCUUGGACAAUGGGGGAAACCCUGAUCCAGCCAUGCCGCGUGAGCGAUGAAGGCCUUCGGGUUGUAAAGCUCUUUCGCCAGGGACGAUAAUGACGGUACCUGGAUAAGGAAGCCCGGCUAACUUCGCGCCAGCAGCCGC